rnacentral:rRNA from 1 species
CCUACGGGCGGCAGCAGUAGGGAAUCUUUCACAAUGGGCGAAAGCCUGAUGGAGCAACGCCGCGUGCAGGAUGAAGGCCUUCGGGUUGUAAACUGCUUUUAUAAGCGAGAAAUAUGAUGGUAACUUAUGAAUAAGGAUCAGCGAACAACGUGCCAGCAGCCGCGGUCAUACGUAGGAUCCGAGCAUUAUCCGGAGUGACUGGGUGUAAAGAGUUGCGUAGGUGGGGUAAUAAGUAGCUAGGGAAAUCUGGUGGCUCAACCAUUCAGACUAUUGGCUAAACUGUUGAGCUCGAGACCGUUAGGGGUAACUGGAAUGUGUAGUGUAGGGGUGAAAUGCGUAGAUAUUAGAAGGAACACCGAUAGCGUAGGCAGGUUACUGGGGCGGUUCUGACACUGAGGCACGAAAGCGUAGGGAGCGAACGGGAUUAGAUACCCGAGUAGUC